rnacentral:rRNA from 1 species
AGGGCACCACCAGGAGUGGAGCCUGCGGCUUAAUUUGACUCAACACGGGAAAUCUCACCAGGCCCGGACACCGGAAGGAUUGACAGAUUGAGAGCUCUUUCUUGAUUCGGUGGGUGGUGGUGCAUGGCCGUUCUUAGUUGGUGGAGCGAUUUGUCUGGUUAAUUCCGAUAACGAACGAGACUCUGGCCUACUAACUAGACGUUGGAUCCCUUUGUGGGUCCAUCGCAGCUUCUUAGAGGGACGGGCGGCGUUUAGCUGCACGAGAUUGAGCAAUAACAGGUCUGUGAUGCCCUUAGAUGUUCUGGGCUGCACGCGCGCUACACUGAAGGAAUCAGCGUGUGUUCCCUAUCCGAAAGGAUUGGGAAACCCGUUGAACCUCCUUCGUGAUGGGGAUUGGGGAUUGCAAUUAUUCCCCAUGAACGAGGAAUUCCCAGUAGGCGCGAGUCAUAAGCUUGCGUCGAUUACGUCCCUGCCCUUUGUACACACCGCCCGUCGCUACUACCGAUCGAGUGAUUUAUG